rfam:Zea mays cultivar B73 chromosome 5, whole genome shotgun sequence.
UAUUUGCUAUGAUGACAUCUACAAGGACGACGUUUGAGUAAGGUGGCUCUUAAAAUGGUGCCUCUUUGCAUCCAAUCUGAAUGAGAUUCUGAGCAAGAC